rnacentral:rRNA from 1 species
GAUGAACGCUGGCGGCGCGCCUAACACAUGCAAGUCGAACGGUUAAAGCAUCUUCGGAUGUGCAUAAAGUGGCGAACGGCUGAGUAACACGUGGGCAACCUGCCCCUCGCAUCGGGACAGCCUCGGGAAACCGUGGUUAAUACCGGAUACUCCGCCACCCCCGCAUGGGGGAGGCGGGAAAGCCCAGACGGCGAGGGAUGGGCCCGCGGCCUGUUAGCUUGUUGGUGGGGCAGUGGCCCACCAAGGCGAUGAUGGGUAGCCGGGUUGAGAGACCGACCGGCCAGAUUGGGACUGAGACACGGCCCAGACUCCUACGGGAGGCAGCAGUGGGGAAUCUUGCACAAUGGGCGAAAGCCUGAUGCAGCGACGCCGCGUGCGGGACGAAAGGCCUUUCGGGUUCGUAAAAC